rnacentral:rRNA from 1 species
UACGUAGGCAGCAAGCGUUGUUCGGAGUUACUGGGCGUAAAGGGUGUGUAGGUGGCCUGUUAAGUUCCGUGUGAAAUCUCCCGGCUCAACCGGGAGGGUGCGCGGAAAACUGGCGGGCUAGAGUACGGGAUGGGAGAGUAGAAUUCCUGGCGUAGCGGUGAAAUGCGUAGAUAUCAGGAGGAAUACCGGUGGUGUAGACGGCUCUCUGGACC